UACGUAGGGGGCAAGCGUUGUCCGGAAUCAUUGGGCGUAAAGCGUGCGUAGACGGUUGCGUAAGUCAGAUGUGAAAGCCCCGGGCUCAACCUGGGAAUUGCAUUUGAGACUGCGUAGCUAGGGUGCGGAAGAGGGAAGCGGAAUUUCCGGUGUAGCGGUGAAAUGCGUAGAUAUCGGAAGGAACACCAGUGGCGAAAGCGGCUUCCUGGUCCAGCACCGACGUUCAGGCACGAAAGCGUGGGGAGCAAACAGG
rnacentral:rRNA from 1 species